rnacentral:rRNA from 1 species
GAUGAACGCUGGCGGCGUGCUUAACACAUGCAAGUCGAACGAAGCACUUUAUUUGAUUUCCUUCGGGACUGAUUCUUUUGUGACUGAGUGGCGGACGGGUGAGUAACGCGUGGGUAACCUGCCUUGUACAGGAGGAUAACAGUUGGAAACGGCUGCUAAUACCGCAUAAGCGCACGGCAUCGCAUGAUGCAGUGUGAAAAACUCCGGUGGUAUAAGAUGGACCCGCGUUGGAUUAGCUAGUGGGUGAGGUAACGGCCCACCAAGGCGACGAUCCAUAGCCGACCGGAGAGGGUGACCGGCUACAUUGGGACUGAGACACGGCCCAAAAUCCUACGGGAGGGAGCAGUGGGGAAUAUUGCACAAUGAGCGAAAGCCUGAUGAAGCGACGCCGCGUGAGAGAAGAAGUAUUUCGGUAUGUAAAGCUCUAUCAGCAGGGAAGAUAAUGACGGUAACUGACUAAGAAGCACCGGCUAAAUACGUG